rnacentral:rRNA from 1 species
AUUGAACGCUGGCGGCAUGCCUUACACAUGCAAGUCGAACGGCAACAGGUUAAGCUGACGAGUGGCGAACGGGUGAGUAAUGUAUCGGAACGUGCCCAGUCGUGGGGGAUAACUGCUCGAAAGAGCAGCUAAUACCGCAUACGACCUGAGGGUGAAAGCGGGGGAUCGCAAGACCUCGCGCGAUUGGAGCGGCCGAUAUCAGAUUAGGUAGUUGGUGGGGUAAAGGCCUACCAAGCCUACGAUCUGUAGCUGGUCUGAGGGGACGACCAGCCACACUGGGACUGAGACACGGCCCAGACUCCUACGGGAGGCAGCAGUGGGGAAUUUUGGACAAUGGACGCAAGUCUGAUCCAGCCAUGCCGCGUGCGGGAAGAAGGCCUUCGGGUUGUAAACCGCUUUUGUCAGGGAAGAAAAGGUUCUGGUCAAUACCUGGGACUCAUGACGGUACCUGAAGAAUAAGCACCGGCUAACUACGUGCCAGCAGCCGCCGCAGUAA